rnacentral:rRNA from 1 species
UGGGGAAUAUUGCACAAUGGGCGCAAGCCUGAUGCAGCCAUGCCGCGUGUGUGAAGAAGGCCUUCGGGUUGUAAAGCACUUUCAGCGAGGAGGAAGGUGGUGAACUUAAUACGUUCAUCAAUUGACGUUACUCGCAGAAGAAGCACCGGCUAACUCCGUGCCAGCAGCCGCGGUAAUACGGAGGGUGCAAGCGUUAAUCGGAAUUACUGGGCGUAAAGCGCACGCAGGCGGUUUGUUAAGUCAGAUGUGAAAUCCCCGGGCUCAACCUGGGAACUGCAUUUGAAACUGGCAAGCUAGAGUCUCGUAGAGGGGGGUAGAAUUCCAGGUGUAGCGGUGAAAUGCGUAGAGAUCUGGAGGAAUACCGGUGGCGAAGGCGGCCCCCCUGGACGAAGACUGACGCUCAGGUGCGAAAAGCGUGGGGGAGCAAACAGGAUUAGAUACCCCUGGUAGUCCACGCUGUAAAACGAUGUCGAUUUGGAGGUUGUGCCCCUUGAGGCGUGGCUUCCGGAGCUAACGCGUUAAAUCGACCG